UUCCUCAAAAAAGAAAAAGGAAAAAAAAUUUGAGACUCCAGAUCUUUAAAAAAAAAACUAUUUCAUGAGUUUGAUGUAGCAUAAUUUAAGUAAGUGUGUCUCUCUUGUUGGACAUUGUAUUUAUUUCUUAGGGCUGUCAUAACAAAGUACCACAAACUGCAUGGCUUAAAAAACAGACAUUUAUUAUCUCACAGUUCUGGAGACUAGAAGUGCAAAAUCACGGUGUCAGCAGGGCCACACGCCCUCUGAAACCUGUCGGGGAAACCUUCUUCAUCUCUUCCUAGCUUCCAGUGAUUUCCCAGCAAUCUUUGGCAUUCUUUGGCUUGUAGACAUCAUUCUAAUACUUCCUCUUCACAUGCGGUUCUCUCUGUGUCUCUUCACGUAGUCUUCAUUCUAUGUAUAUCUGUGUCUGGGUCCAAAUUUCCCCUUUUUAUAAAGAAAGCAAUCAUAUUGGAUUAAGGCCUGCCCUGAAGCCCUCAUCCUAACUUGACCACAUUUGCAAAGACCCUCUUUCUAAAUAAAGUCACAUUCUGAGGUACUGGGGGUUAGGACUUCAACAUAUCUUUUUUGGCAGGAUGCAAUUCAAGCCAUAACAGACAUUUAGGUUGUUUCCAGGUUUUCGUUACUGGUGGUGGUGUUGGUGAUGGUGGUGGUACUAUUAUAGACAAAGCUGCUACAGAUAUCUUCAAGGACAUAGCAUUUUAAUUCUAUUGAAAUAGAAUGCUAUAAUUUAAAAGCAACAAGAAGGGAGUGCAAAUAAAAAUUUUUAACUUAAAUUAUUGAUUUCUAUUUUCCAUUAUUCACGUGUUUUUAAUUGAUACUCUAGAGAGAAGUAGAAGAGAGAUAGUUCGGAGCUUGGAAUCAGUUCAUUCAUACAUAAUAGGUUCAGAAUGAGAUGGACAUUGUCUAACAGUUAAUAUAGCACUGUGGGCAAAAUAAAAUUUUAAGAAUUGGGAAGUUUGAACUGAAAAUUAAUCCUUUUUCUAAAUUGUGGUUUUGAGAUCACAUUGCCUUGCCAUGUGUGGUAAAGUUUUUCUAGAUAUUCUUCUAUGGAAGAUAAUUGGUAGUCCUGUUUUCAACAUGUUUUGAAGUUCUAACACUGCCACAGGCUUCCAAAAGGAAGAAACUUCUGUUAUGUAAAGAUUUCCUGGAGAAAUCAGAUCUUUAUAACUUGUGGGGAGUCCCUCGAUGCCUGACCUCCUGACAAACUCACCCACAUUUCAUUUUCCCGGCCCCGGCCCCAGAGCCUGAAUCUUACCUGCUCCCAGUUGGAUCCUAGCUAUUUGUUGUCCUUCUCUUGGUUUAGCCUCAGCGAUAGCUGGAACUCAGGUAGACUCUGUUCUCUGCAGAGGCCGGAGAUUUCCAGACAAAGCUUGGUCAUAAACUUCUCCAAGAUAGACCAGCUCUUCCAACCCCGAAUCUUCAAGAUCUAUACUCCAGUACCACCUUAUUUCUUCUUUUCUAGAAGUUUUGGUACCAUGAUUACUGGGAAGGUUCAAGGUUUGAAGGAUCCAAGCAGGAAGGAGUUAACAUUACUAUGCUUUUCUUGGGUGCCAGGCAUUGAGUCAUGCUUUUUCACAGCCUGUUUCUUUAAUACUUAACCUUGAACAUAGGCAUUGUCAUUCCCAUUUACAAUUGAGGAAAUGGGUCAGAGAAAUUAAAAUAUUGUCUAAGUGAGUGGCAAAACCAGAAUUCAAAUCUAAAUCUGCUCAAUCCUAUGUGUUCUUUCUAUCCCAGCAUAAUUACUCCCAAGGAAAAGCGUGGACUGCUCAGAAAGUGACACUUCUAAAGCUGGACCGUGUGGCAUAACUGGGACUGGCUUGGGGCUGAGGAAUCGUUAGGCAAGUCAUGGUGAGAAGAUGUCUCAGUGUCUUCCCAAUCCUGAUUUUGUUAUAUCUUCACCACAUAAAUUAUCCAAACACGAAGACUGAAAUGCGUUGCUAAGCUCUUUAUCAGAUUUGGGGAAAUCACAACAAUUGUAAAGGCAGUUUGAGCUGCUGCAGAACGUUCAUUGUGAAAUCUCUUAAAGAGACGUUGCACAGACGCAAAGAGAGGCUCAACAACUAAAGAAGCAUGCGAUCUGCCCAGGAGGGCGCGAAGACCACGCCGCCUGGGACAUGAAUUAGAGAAAAUAAGAAUGGGAGUCCUGAGGUUCACAGGAACCACGGGUUUCUGGAUGGAUUGUCAGAAGCGUAAAUGUGGUCUGAAGAUGUCCAAUCUAUUUCUGGUGUGAGCUGUCACACUGCAAAUUCACCAAAGGGUGUAGGAAUGAUUUCACACAACAGUUCACUCGGUGAUUUACGUGAGUGAGGCCGUGGGAUCAUAUGACGUUGGUGAGCCAAUAGACAACAGCCCUGCUUUCCUCUGACAAUCAACCAACACUGCGAGAUGACAGCAGCCAAUAUGACUGAGAACGGCGAAGGCAUAAUAACAUUUACAUUGAUGUUUUCAGCCGCAAUUGCUACAUACUUUUUCUCUGCUGUUGCGAAGAUGCGAUAUGUUCAUUGUACAAUAAAUCCCCCCAGCCUUCAUUCUUUAAGGCUUUCUAACCCAAAUUUGAUAAUUUCACAGCAGCGUUGUGGUUUGCUAUUACUCGAAAAAUGGAAUCAAUAUCUAUCUCAUAUAUAUGGUUUUUCAGGGAUCAUUGUUUCUAUUUCUUGAAUGCCAGUACCAUUUAAUCAAAAGGCGAAGUUCAAGAAAAGGCAAGAUUAUAUUGUCCUGAAUGUUAAACAAUAUUCUGCAUGCAUUAGACAUUGAUAAAUUUUCAAGGAACAUCUAGUGGCUAAUCCCUGUUCCUUUAAGAUAAAAGAUUCAGCAGUUACACACACCCAACUCUUAUAUCCGGACCAGAAAAAGACGAUAAUUUCGCAAGAUUGAAUCAGCUCUUUAGACACACACUACCAUGUUCUUGAGGGAGAAAGAGAAAAUAAAGGUUAAAAUGAAAAGAACGAAUUACAGUCUAAUUUUUGUUUAUCUUUAACACUUAUAAAGAUGUAACUCUUUCUUAGACCUUGGUGUAUUUUUUAAAUAAAGCUGUCAAAAACAACCCUCACAACCCAAAAAUGACAACCGCGGAAUUUUAAAGGCUGAUUGGUUAUAGUGCGGAGAAAGUAAUAGAAACAGCUAUCCAUGAUGCACACAGAGGACCGGCUUGCUAAGAUUCCUCUCCAGGGAUGGAUAAAGUUUGUCUGCCUUUUCUUACUCCUCAUUUGGACAGCAAGUCUGGGGGAGACGAUGUGGUGUAACAGAACUGUCAUUAUAGCCCAAAGCAGGGCACCCAGCUUUAAUCUCGGCCGAUUGAUAACUAUCUUUCUUCCUUGAAAGCAUUGCUCCACUUUUCGGACCCCAUGUCUUUAUCUGUAAAUGAGCAAUUCUAGGAAAAUUCCAGGAAUCUCGCCACUAACACCUAUAGGGAAAGUGGUCUUCUCUUUCAAGCUGGAGGAAAUUUGAGAGAGCAGAUAGCCACCGAGUGUAGAAGAUCUGAGUUCUUUCUAGUGCAGAGUAGAAAAGAAACAGGAAAGGAUGCUGGUGUUCAAGGGCUUUCAACUGUGAGAAGGGUGUGGACCACGCAGCCCUCCAGGGAGGCAAGAGAAGACUCAGCAUUGUCUGAAAAUUAUGACUGCUGGAUCCAGAGAGUGGGACUGUCUGUCGCACUCAUCCUGUAUUCCCAGAGCCUCACACGGUGCCUGGCACGCAGUAGGCGUCUGACACAGAUUUACUGGAAAGCGAAUAAAUGUUAAGCCUCAGGGUACCUUCCAUUUGCAUUCUAAGAUAUGUUCACUUUUAUACCUAACUCAGUAUUUGCAGUUUUAUGUUCUUUCUCAUAAGAUGGUCUCCCAAAUCCUAUAAACUUCAGGCCCCACAAACCUCUAUCUGCCUCUUAUAGACAUGCAAUAAAUGUUUGUUUACCUAACGAGAAAAAAAGAAAGGUGCGAGGGUAAGGAAGGGGAGGAAGAAAACCCAAACCUCCCCGAAACAGUGGCAACUAGGAGGAUCAAAUUCAACCUCGAUGAGUCAGAGGCAGCAUUCCCAAACUGUUGCCAGACAGUAACAGGCAAUGAUUUACCUCAAUUAAUUCAGCCAGUUAAAAGCUUAGUUCUUAAUUGCCAACAGGAGGCUGAAAGGCAAAUGUGUUAGACUGUCUUCCUAUUCCGAGCGAUUGCAGUAGGGGCUGAAGCAUCUCUGGAGUGAGGGGAGCUGCUGCUACUGUAAUUAGCUUCAUGCUGACCGAAUGUGACAGGACCUCACCUCAGCUACACCACGGAUCUCUUGCUUCCUGCCUGAGGCCCCUCUGACAUCACGGUUGAGAGAGAUGCCUAUGGAAACCCACUCACACAUGCAACCUGGAAGUGUGGAAGGUGAACUUCUAAGAAUUUGGAUGACACAGCUGAUUGUCAGGGACGUGGCAGGUAGAGAGGAAGCGACAGGUUCUAAGGCUCAUGACACUCAACAUCGUUCUCCCUGCACGGUGCUUACACAACUUUGCCCAGAUCACGGAAGUCCUCUGCAUCUGAGCUGAAUUAUACUUGACACAGACCGUGUCUAGGAAGUUUUUGAAGAUCACUGAGAAAAGGUGCCACCAAAAAUUUAAAAACAGUUAGUUAACUCUUAUUAUUUGGGUCUCUGGAAUAGAAUGAAAGUGCAGAUAAUUGAAACAAAAACUUUGAAUGUUUAGAAAUAUUUUAGUUCUGUUCUGUUUCAUAAUGUAUGACCUAUUCUCAAAAUUACAUUAUAUUUGAUUUUUACUCUGGAAGUUUUGAAAUGGCUUUUGGCCAAAAGCAUUAAAAUUCGGACCCAAUAAUCUAAAACAGCAGAUCGUUCGGGAAGUAUUUAUGUUGAGCUUUGUGAAACGUUACAGAAUAUUUCUGGUAGUAGAUCUAUCUUUUGUAAAUAUGUUUUAUUUAGGAAAACGUUAAAAUUAGUUUUUCUUUCUUGAAUACAAAUCACUAAUAGUGGGUGGGUAGAGGAAGUCAGUUUUAAAUUAAAAAUUUGUCUUAGAUAAUCCAUGGAGCCAAGACUUUGCACAUGGAUGUUACAGAGUUAUUCGUAUUCUAAAUUUCAAACACAUUUGUUAUCCAGAAACUUUUCAGGUGCUUAGCAAAGUAGAGGCUUUUCUAGAUUUAGCAUUUUUAAGGCAUUAAGAAAAUACUCAAAAUUUAGAGAGAUAUUUUCAGACCGUUAAAGAUACUUAUUAUCAAUAAGAAAAACAAAUAGAAAAGAACUCAUUUUGUUAUUCAUUUCUUCAUACUUGAUUCCCUCCCCUCUUCCCUUCUUGAAAUUACAGCUGGUAAACAGAUGGCAGGCACAAAAGUUACACAAAUAAGAGACACACACACACACAUCCUCUUAAUGGGGGGCCCUGUUUGUUGGGGUGUCCAGUGAGGACUCCUGGCUGAGGGGGCCCCAGUUAUCCGUUCUCAGUCAGAGCUACCAUGGAGAGGGAAGGGUUUUGGGAUAUAUUAGCUCUGCAUGUGUGUCUCACAGCAAAAGACCUUGGUAAGUCACAUAUCCUAAGUCCCAACAUUGUGGAGCCUUCUCUCCAUUCCUAUGUUCUUGAGAUUUUCCCUCAAGUCCCUGGGAGGCAGAAAUGCUUCAGAGGCGUUUUGAGCAGGAGCAUGACACGAUCAA